rnacentral:lncRNA from 1 species
UUUUUUUUUUUUGGUUUAAAAGACUUCUUUAUAUUAGUUAAAGAAUGAGCUGCUGCCCUAAGGCAGUUACACAAAAGGGAAUAACACACAAGGCUCGUGAUAAUAACAGUUCAUUCAUGGACUGCAACUAUAUUACCAGUUGAUAAGAGUUAUAAUUUUGUUCACCACAGAAUACUAGUACUAGUACUAGUAGUAGGAAAACAUUGUUUCUUUUUCUUUUUUAAUUUCACGAGAUAAAAGGAUAAUAACUGCACAUUAGGUUCCCACACCUCAACAACAUAAAUAGAGCUCCGUUCAUUGGUCUCUAUUAUUAUCUCAGUUACAUUCUUUUGUAUCCUUGAAGCUGCGCCCCACAUGCGAUUUAUCACGUGCCAGUAGCUUAGCUUACAAAUACUCCAUCUUCUUUUAAAGUUAACAUUGAGUGAUUAUUACCAAUUCUUUACAUCAAACCUUC